rnacentral:rRNA from 1 species
GAUCAUGGCUCAGAUUGAACGCUGGCGGCAGGCCUAACACAUGCAAGUCGAGCGGGGUUUUCGGACCUAGCGGCGGACGGGUGAGUAAUGCUUAGGAAUCUGCCUAUUAGUGGGGGACAACAUUCCGAAAGGAAUGCUAAUACCGCAUACGUCCUACGGGAGAAAGCAGGGGAUCUUCGGACCUUGCGCUAAUAGAUGAGCCUAAGUCGGAUUAGCUAGUUGGUGGGGUAAAGGCCUACCAAGGCGACGAUCUGUAGCGGGUCUGAGAGGAUGAUCCGCCACACUGGGACUGAGACACGGCCCAGACUCCUACGGGAGGCAGCAGUGGGGAAUUUUGGACAAUGGGCGAAAGCCUGAUCCAGCCAUGCCGCGUGAGUGAAGAAGGCCUUCGGGUUGUAAAGCUCUUUCGGCUGGGAAGAAAUCGCACAGGCUAAUACUCUGUGUGGAUGACGGUACCAGCACAAGAAGCACCGGCUAACUACGUG